rnacentral:rRNA from 1 species
GAUGAACGCUGGCGGCGUGCCUAAUACAUGCAAGUCGAGCGAACAGAUGAGGAGCUUGCUCCUCUGACGUUAGCGGCGGACGGGUGAGUAACACGUGGAUAACCUACCUCUAAUACUGGGAUAACUUCGGGAAACCGGAGCUAAUACCGGAUAAUAUAUUGAACCGCAUGGUUCAAUAGUGAAAGACGGUUUUGCUGUCACUUAUAGAUGGAUCCGCGCCGCAUUAGCUAGUUGGUAAGGUAACGGCUUACCAAGGCUACGAUGCGUAGCCGACCUGAGAGGGUGAUCAGCCACACUGGAACUGAGACACGGUCCAGACUCCUACGGGAGGCAGCAGUAGGGAAUAUUCCGCAAUGGGCGGAAGCCUGACGGAGCAACGCCGCGUGAGUGAUGAAGGUCUUCGGAUCGUAAAACUCUGUUAUUAGGGAAGAACAAAUGUGUAAGUAACUAUGCACGUCUUGACGGUACCUAAUGAGAAAGCCACGGCUAACUACGUG